GGCCGAGAGAGGAGGGAGGAAGGGGCCGUGCGAGUGGGAGGGGACGGAGCAGGCGCCAGCGGCCGCGGCUCCCCCACCCCCGGGCCGGGCUCGGCGGCGCGGGGGGAAACGCUGGGCGCGCGCCGGGGGCGGGGAGGAAUGCGGCUGGGCGGGCGCGCGCGGGGGCGCGGGGGGCGGCGCAGAAAGGGGAGCCCCAGCUCCCGAGCCCCAGGCGCGCGUCCUUGGGGACGUCACAGCGCUGGAAUCCGAGGAAUGCCGGGCUGCAGGAGCUCCUUCUGCAGGCCCGGGGGAAGUCGCGCACUUUUAAUGUGGUGGCUUUGGAGAAGGCUUUCAAAGUGCCACAGAAUCGCCCCACCCAGCCUGGGUAGGCACUGGGAGGGAACUUCCUUAGCAUUUUCGGAGGUGGAGUUAAAGAGACGCAGCUGGUAAGAUGGAACAGGCACCGAGCCAGGCCGGGGAACCCGGGUUUUCGGACCUGACCUGUGAACAGGAGCCAGGAAAUGGAUGGGAGUACAGAUAAAGCAAAGAUGGCAAGGAGUUGAUGACAGCGGAAGCUGACUGAUGGAUACAUGGGAGUUCAUUAUACUAAUUGGUUAAUUUUGUAUAAGUGUGAAAUAAUAAAGUUAAAAGCCUAAUAAUAAUAAAAAGUUUAAAAGGAAAAAUAUAUUAUAAAAACAAUAUGUCCUCAUUUCAAAUAAUAUUGAAGUACAUAAUGAAAAGAUGGGUUGCCUGUUUUCACUUCCCAUUUUCAUAUUAACAUU